UGGCGGACGGGUGAGUAAUGUCUGGGAAACUGCCUGAUGGAGGGGGAUAACUACUGGAAACGGUAGCUAAUACCGCAUAACGUCGCAAAGACCAAAGAGGGGGACCUUCGGGCCUCUUGCCAUCGGAUGUGCCCAGAUGGGAUUAGCUAGUAGGUGGGGUAACGGCUCACCUAGGCGACGAUCCCUAGCUGGUCUGAGAGGAUGACCAGCCACACUGGAACUGAGACACGGUCCAG
rnacentral:rRNA from 1 species